rnacentral:rRNA from 1 species
AGUGAACGCUGGCGGUAGGCCUAACACAUGCAAGUCGAACGGCAGCACAGUAAGAGCUUGCUCUUACGGGUGGCGAGUGGCGGACGGGUGAGGAAUACAUCGGAAUCUACUUUUUCGUGGGGGAGAACGUAGGGAAACUUACGCUAAUACCGCAUACGACCUACGGGUGAAAGCAGGGGAUCUUCGGACCUUGCGCGAUUGAAGGAGCCGAUGUCGGAUUAGCUAGUUGGCGGGGUAAAGGCCCACCAAGGCGACGAUCCGUAGCUGGUCUGAGAGGAUGAUCCGCCACACUGGAACUGAGACACGGUCCAGACUCCUACGGGAGGCAGCAGUGGGGAAUAUUGGACAAUGGGCGCAAGCCUGAUCCAGCCAUACCGCGUGGGUGAAGAAGGCCUUCGGGUUGUAAAGCCCUUUUGUUGGGAAAGAAAAGCAGCAGGUUAAUACCCCGCUGUUCUGACGGUACCCAAAGAAUAAGCACCGGCUAACUUCGUG